AGAGUUUGAUCCUGGCUCAGGAUGAACGCUGGCGGCGUGCUUAACACAUGCAAGUCGAACGAAGCACUUUAUUUGAUUUCCUUCGGGACUGAUUAUUUUGUGACUGAGUGGCGGACGGGUGAGUAACGCGUGGGUAACCUGCCUUGUACAGGGGGAUAACAGUUGGAAACGGCUGCUAAUACCGCAUAAGCGCACAGCAUCGCAUGAUGCAGUGUGAAAAACUCCGGUGGUAUAAGAUGGACCCGCGUUGGAUUAGCUAGUUGGUGAGGUAACGGCCCACCAAGGCGACGAUCCAUAGCCGACCUGAGAGGGUGACCGGCCACAUUGGGACUGAGACACGGCCCAAACUCCUACGGGAGGCAGCAGUGGGGAAUAUUGCACAAUGGGCGAAAGCCUGAUGCAGCGACGCCGCGUGAGCGAAGUAGUAUUUCGGUAUGUAAAGCUCUAUCAGCAGGGAAGAUAAUGACGGUACCUGACUAAGAAGCACCGGCUAAAUACGUGCCAGCAGCCGCGGUAAUACGUAUGGUGCAAGCGUUAUCCGGAUUUACUGGGUGUAAAGGGAGCGUAGGCCGUCUUAUAAGCGUGUUGUGAAAUGUCGGGGCUCAACCUGGGCAUUGCAGCGCGAACUGUGAGACUUUAGUGCGCAGGAAGUAGGCGGAAUUCGUCGUGUAGCGGUGAAAUGCUUAGAUAUGACGAAGAACUCCGAUUGCGAAGGCAGCCUGCUGUAGCGCAACUGACGCUGAAGCUCGAAAGCGUGGGUAUCGAACAGGAUUAGAUACCCUGGUAGUCCACGCGGUAAACGAUGGAUGCUCGCUGUUUGCGUCUGACGUAAGCGGCCAAGCGAAAGCGUUAAGCAUCCCACCUGGGGAGUACGCCGGCAACGGUGAAACUCAAAGGAAUUGACGGGGGCCCGCACAAGCGGAGGAACAUGUGGUUUAAUUCGAUGAUACGCGAGGAACCUUACCCGGGCUUGAACUGUAGGCGAACGAUUCAGAGAUGAAGAGGCCCUUCGGGGCGCCUAUGGAGGUGCUGCAUGGUUGUCGUCAGCUCGUGCCGUGAGAUGUCGGCUUAAGUGCCAUAACGAGCGCAACCCUUGUUCGUAGUUGCCAUCGGUUAAAGCCGGGCACUCUGCGGAGACUGCCUCCGUAAGGAGUGAGGAAGGUGGGGAUGACGUCAAAUCAGCACGGCCCUUACGUCCGGGGCUACACACGUGUUACAAUGGCAUGUACAGAAAGCUGGGUGUAUGCAAAUACGCUCGAAUCCCUAAAACAUGUCUCAGUUCGGACUGGGGUCUGCAACCCGACCCCACGAAGCUGGAUUCGCUAGUAAUCGCGCAUCAGCCAUGGCGCGGUGAAUACGUUCCCGGGCCUUGUACACACCGCCCGUCAGCCAUGAAAGCCGGGGGCGCCUAAAGUCCGUGACCGCGAGGGUCGGCCUAGGGUGAAACCGGUGAUUGGGGCUAAGUCGUAACAAGGUA
rnacentral:rRNA from 1 species